rnacentral:rRNA from 1 species
AUUGAACGCUGGCGGCAGGCCUAACACAUGCAAGUCGAGCGGAUGACGGGAGCUUGCUCCUUGAUUCAGCGGCGGACGGGUGAGUAAUGCCUAGGAAUCUGCCUGGAGUGGGGGACUACGUUUCGAAAGGAACGCUAAUACCGCAUACGUCCUACGGAAGAAAGCAGGGGACCUUCGGGCCUUGCGCUAUCAGAUGGGCCUAGGUCGGAUUAGCUAGUUGGUGGGGUAAUGGCUCACCAAGGCGACGAUCCGUAACUGGUCUGAGAGGAUGAUCAGUCACACUGGAACUGAGACACGGUCCAGACUCCUACGGGAGGCAGCAGUGGGGAAUAUUGGACAAUGGGCGAAAGCCUGAUCCAGCCAUGCCGCGUGUGUGAAGAAGGUCUUCGGAUUGUAAAGCACUUUAAGUUGGGAGGAAGGGCAGUAAGCUAAUACCUUGCUGUUUUGACGUUACCGACAGAAUAAGCACCGGCUAACUCUGUGCCAGCCGCCGCUGUAA